UACGUAGGCAGCAAGCGUUGUUCGGAGUUACUGGGCGUAAAGGGUGUGUAGGCGGUUAUUUAAGUUUGGUGUGAAAUCUCCCGGCUCAACCGGGAGGGUGCGCCGAAUACUGAAUGACUUGGAGUGCGGGAGAGGAAAGUGGAAUUCCUGGUGUAGCGGUGAAAUGCGCAGAUAUCAGGAGGAACACCGGUGGCGAAGGCGGGUCUCUGGGCAGUAACUGACGCUGAGGCACGAAAGCUAGGGGAGCAAACAGG
rnacentral:rRNA from 1 species